AUGGUCGCGAUCCGGACCGAGCUGACGAAGCUGGGAGCAACGGUGGAGGAAGGCCCGGACUACUGCAUCAUUACGCCACCGGAGAAGCUGAACGUCACGGCCAUCGACACCUACGACGACCACCGGAUGGCGAUGGCCUUCUCCCUGGCGGCCUGUGCCGAGCUGGGAGCAACGGUGGAGGAAGGCCCGGACUACUGCAUCAUCACGCCGCCGGAGAAACUGAAUGUCAUGGCGAUCGACACCUAUGACGACCACCGGAUGGCGAUGGCCUUCUCCCUGGCGGCCUGCACCGAGGUGCCAGUCACCAUCAGGGACCCCGGGUGCACCCGAAAGACCUUCCCCAACUACUUUGAUGUGCUAAGCACCUUCAUGAAGAACUAG
rnacentral:rRNA from 1 species